GGGCGUGGUUAAAUCGACACC
rnacentral:misc_RNA from 1 species